AUAUCCGAUGAGUAGGUUCUUAGCUACAUGCUUACUGGUCUCGGCUUGGAAUAUGAACCCCUUGUUGCUUCAAUCAUGGCUCGUGAUGAGCGAGUGAGCCUCGCUAGCUUCUAUGUGUAUUUGCUUAGCGUCGACC
rnacentral:snoRNA from 1 species